rnacentral:lncRNA from 1 species
GCGCCAAUCAGGGUCCUCCGCCGCUGCCCCGCUCGUGUCGCCGCACAGCUCUUCUCUGGAGGUCUCCUGUCUGAGUUGAUGACUCCAAGGCGUCCCUCACCUUUGUGUCAAUCUGCAGGACAGCACCCAUUAUCAGCUUGGAGAGCACAUGGGCUUUGUGGGGACCUCUCCAUGGCCCAGGGUUACCUCCUCAUUUCUGGACAACGCUUGCAUGCGCUCAGCCAGACACCUGGAAUGAGCUGUACUUGGCAUGGGAGGUUUUACCUUGGAAAUCUUGUCCCAUCUUUCCUGGGCUGCCCUGAAAGCCCCGUUCUCCUGUAAAUACAAGGACUAAACUGGAUCCCAUCUCCUAGAGUGCCCUUCUAAAAUGUCCCAUUUCCUGCUGCCACAUGUGCGGGCAUAUGCAGGCCUGAACUCUGAGGUUCAUCAAAGUAGCCAGCUCUCUAACAGCAAUGGCUUCCCCCAUUUCCAACUGCAGCAAGCUGAACACAGCCAAGGCCUGUUGUAUGCAGCAGGCGGCUUAUAAGUGUUGUAUGCAGCAGGCGGCUUAUAUUGCAGCAGCUUCUGGCUGAGUCUCCAGCUCCCAACUCCCUGCAGAGGCACAGGGACUCACGCACGACUGCUUCUGGUUUUCUAUGUUCUCUCAGCAAAUCUGAAGUAUUGGUUACAGACCCAGGCUUUUGCCUGCCACUUCAAGGUGCAGAGUGUCUUUAUAAGCUGGCCCUGAGAAAUGUCCAGUGCACAGCUUUCAUUUGUGCAGCCUGAGUUGUCACCCUGGUCUAUCAGUCUUGGAGUGUGCAUUCAAUAAACCAUCCCUGUUUAACUG